rnacentral:rRNA from 1 species
CCUACGGGCGACAGCAGUGAGGAAUAUUGGUCAAUGGACGAGAGUCUGAACCAGCCAAGUAGCGUGAAGGAUGACUGCCCUAUGGGUUGUAAACUUCUUUUAUAAAGGAAUAAAACGAGGCACGUGUGCCUUUUUGCAUGUACUUUAUGAAUAAGGAUCGGCUAACUCCGUGCCAGCAGCCGCGGUAAUACGGAGGAUCCGAGCGUUAUCCGGAUUUAUUGGGUUUAAAGGGAGCGUAGAUGGGUUGUUAAGUCAGUUGUGAAAGUUUGCGGCUCAACCGUAAAAUUGCAAUUGAUACUGGCAGUCGUGAGUACAGUUGAGGUAGGCGGAAUUCGUGGUGUAGCGGUGAAAUGCUUAGAUAUCACGAAGAACCCCGAUUGCGAAGGCAGCUUACUAAACUGUGACUGACAUUGAUGCUCGAAAGUGUGGGUAUCAAACAGGAUUAGAUACCCUAGUAGUC